rnacentral:lncRNA from 1 species
AGGCCUUUUGUCACCAGCAGGGGUAAGAGCUCUCUAAACUUUGCCCAGGCUAUUCUUACUCUAGCAGUUACACUUUCAGCACACCUGCCCCCCGCUACUGACUUGGUCACCUAGGUAGCAGAAGCUAUCAACUACUUCUAGUUUUUCUCCCUGAAACGUGAUAGAAGUUGGUCUCUGCAUAUUUUCAGAGUUUAUUGCUCCUGAGCAUCUGCCACAGAUAAAAACUAUUUUCCUAGUUAGUCUUCCUUUGACAUUACUACAUCUCUUAUGUGUCCAUAGCUUACAUUUGGUGCAUCUUAUAGAGUUUCUACCUACGCCUUUUCUACAGAUCGAGCAAGGCCAUCUACCUGAAGGCGUUUGUGAUUGGUCUACCUUCCUACUUAUUAGGACUUUGGUUUUGGCUAGGUUGAUUCUAAGGCCCUUCGAUUCUAAACCUUGCUUCCACACCUGAAACUUCUCCUCCAGUUCUGAUAGAGACUCAGCAAUUAGAGCAAGGUCAUCAGCAUAGAGGAGCUCCCAGGGGCAUCCAGUCUUGAAUUCCUCCGUUAUUGCCUGGAGGACUAUGAUAAAUAGGAGGGGGCUGAGGACUGAACCUUGGUGGACCCCAACCUCUACCCUGAAUUCUUCACUGUACUCGGUGCCAACCCUCACCUUACUAGCAGCGUCUCUGUACAUGGCUUGUACAGCUCUCACUAACCAUUCAUCUAACCCUAGUUUCCUCAUUGACCACCAGAUAAGGGAUCGGGGGACCCUGUCGAAGGCUUUCUCCAUAUCGACAAAAGCCAGGUACAAGGGCUUGUCUUUGGCUAGGUAUUUCUCCUGCAGCUGUCUUACCAGGAAAAUAGCAUCAGUAGUACUUUUCCCUGGCACGAACCCAAACUGCAUCUGAUCUAAGCUAACUCUCUCUCUAAUUUGUUGGGCUAUAACCCUCUCCGUAACCUUCAUUACCUGAUCUAGCAGCUUGAUACCCCUGUAGUUAUUUGUAUCUAGGGCGUCACCUUUACCUUUGUAGCAGUUGACUAUUAUGCUGCUACACCAGUCAUUGGGAAUGACUCCUUCGUGUAUCACCUGGUUAACUAUACGGGUGACUAGGCUAUAGCCAGCACUACCAGAUAUUUUGAGCAUCUCUGCAGUAAUUCCUGAUGGGCCUGGGGCUUUCCCUGUUUUCAUGCUUCUAAUUGCCUUAUCUACUAAGGAACUGUCAACUUGGAUUGCUGGUCCCUCUGUUGGGUCAACAUUCAGCAGACUCUCUUUAUCCCAUUCAUUUUCCUCAUUCAGCAACCUUUCAUAGUGGCGUCUCCAAACCUCUCUCUUUGCCUCCUCAUUUAGCGCAAGUGAGCCGUCAUCCUUGCGAACACAUUUCUCUCCUACCACGUCAAGAUUCUCUCUCACACACUGUCUUGCAACACGAAAUACCUCAAGUCUUUCAUCUUCACGGCGCAGGACAUUGGCAAAUUUUUUCUUAGCUGCUUCCCCUCUGGCUAAAUACACCUGCCUCCUAGCCUCCCUUCUUGCAGUCUGAUACACUUCCCUGCUACCACCGUUCUUCCAGUCCUUCCAAGCCUGUUUCUUUUGUCUAAUAGCCCUGUCAACAGUAUUGUUCCACCACCACGUUAUUUUGGGUCUUGUGGGGACUUUGCACCAGCCACAGAUCUGGUCUGUGGCUUUCAGCAGGUUGUCCCUUAGAAGCACCCAGUUAUCUUCUACCCCAUGUGUAGCUAUACCCCCUUCUAUUUCGUCGAAGGCUUCAAGUAACAUGUCUCUAAAUCUCUGUCUAUUUGCAGGGUCUUUAAGCUUCCAGACCCUUCUUCUCCAUGUUGGUCGUCUUCUAGUCGUCCUCUUAGUCCUGAUUCUAAAGUCACUGACUACCAGUCUAUGUUGUGGGGUACACUCUUCGCCUGGGAAGGUUUUGGCAUUUAUAAGCAGCCAUCUUUCCCUUUUUCUGGUAAGGAUGUAGUCGAUUUGGGUAGUAUGCUGGCCCGAAUGGUAGGUGACCAAGUGGCUUGUCGGUUUCCUGAAGUUAGUGUUGCAAACCAUAAGACUAUUUGCAUCACAGAACUCCAGCAGCCUGGUUCCCUCCUCAUUGCGAGAACCAUUACCAUAGCCUCCAUGAACGCCAUAGAAGCUCUCAGCAUAUCGUCCAACAUGCCCAUUGAAGUCACCACCCACAAAGAGAAGGUCCCUGUCGUUCGUCAGUGAGGUGGUCUGCAGUAGGGUGUCAUAGAAACAGUCUUUCUGUCCAUCGGGUAGCCCUGGCUGAGGGGCAUAGGCCGAUAUAAUAGUUGCUAAACUAUGAUGGAGCACUAAACUAAUCUUCAGUAUUCUGUCACAUACUCUGACUACCUCGAUUACCUUACCUACCCAUUUUUCGGCAAUAAGCACACCUACUCCCCCGACCCCUUCAGUAUUCCCAGCCCAGAAAAUCUUGUACCUCUGUCCUUUACCUGUGAGGAACCUAGCAGAACCUCCUCUCCACCUCACCUCUUGAACACAGCAUAUAUCCACACACCUCCGUUCAAGCAAUUCAACGAUCUCGCCAGAUCUGCCUUUCAGUGUGCCAACGUUGAGGGUGCCAAUCCUGAGGGAGUGGGAGGCAUUGAACCUAGUAGCAUCAUGAACCUGAAAAGAAAACUCGCGUUUGGCAGGAUUCAUAAACAGACAAUUAAACCUAAGUUCAAACCGCGUACGUUACCAAUAUAUCUUGCAAUGAAUGACCACUACCAUUUAUGGAAGGAGGAGCAAGUGGCGUAGACAACAGGGAUGCGAAGUGUACAUGGGCGACAGACAUGUACAUGGGAGACAACAAGGAUGAGAAAAUUUUGGACUUCCUGUAGCGGUGGGGGGCAGCGUAAAACUUAAAGUGUACAUCAGAGACAGCGAUGAGAAAAUUUUAGGCUUCCUGUAACGGUGGAGGGGGUGGGAGGGCGGGCGAGCCCCGCGAAAAAUCGGCCGCCAUUGAGACCCCUGUAUGGAAAAACUUAAAUAUCUAUUCUAUAUUUAGUGAGACGCGAGGCCGAAUCGAUGGUCAACGAUAACUAAUGAAUUAUACAUAAUAUGCAAUACGAGGCGAGGCUGAAAAUAAUAAUAAACAGAUUGAUGACCAGGGAUCAAAGGGAUAAUACUAAUACUAAUACUAAUAAUAAUAAUAAUAAACAGCUUAACCACUAGAGAUCAGACAAAUUUGCAUGAGAGUAUUACUGGUAAAUACGGGAUGAAUUAGGUUAAAAAAGGUUUUCUUAUCUUGGAAACAUUUCGUUUUCGGACUGACUCGGCAGAAGGAAUAUACAUAUAUACAUAUACAUAUAUACAUACAUAUAUAUAUAUACAUUUUAAAAAAAAUGUCCAGUUCCUUUGGUUUGUGUCUAUGUUUUCGUUUCUCAUUGUGUUUGACGUCCUUUUGGUGUCCUGUACUCAUAUAUGCGUGUAUAUGUACAUGUAGAGGUAGGUACGUACAUAUAUGUUUAUAUAUAUGCAUAUGUUUUAUUUUAUUUAUUAAUACAUAUAUAUAUAUAUAUAUAUACAUAUAUAUAUAUACAUAUAUAUAUAUAUAUAUAUAUAUAUAUAUAUAUAUAUAUAUAUAUAUAUAUAUAUAUAUAUAUAUAUAUAUAUAUAUAUAUAUAUAUAUAUAUAUAUAUAUACAUAUAUAUAUAUAUAUAUAUAUAUAUAUAUAUAUAUAUAUAUAUAUAUAUAUAUAUAUAUAUAUAUAUAUAUAUAUAUAUAUAUAUAUAUAUAUAUAUAUAUAUAUAUAUAUAUAUAUAUAUAUAUAUAUAUACAUAUAUAUAUAUACAUAUAUAUAUAUAUACAUAUAUAUAUAUAUAUAUAUAUAUAUAUAUACAUAUAUAUAUAUAUAUAUAUACAUAUACAUUAUAUAUAUAUACAUACAUAUAAAUUAUCAUUAUCAUACACACAUUUAUAUUCAUAUAUACACACACACACACACACUUGCAUGUGUGUGUGUGUGUAUGUUUAUAUAUGAAAUCACAAAUUUAAAAACCAUGAAAGACUCCUGAGAAAAUAAUUAUUUAAGUAGAGUUAUUAUCAAAGAAAUCAUUAUUACCUGUUUUAAGUAUUUAUUAAUUUAUUUAUGUUACUACAAGUAUUGAUUAUCAAUUUUAUUUGAAAACUUCAAAUAUGUUAAAAAAUUUUUAAUUUUAAGAUUUACUAAAUGGUUUUAAAUGUAUGGCUGUUACAGUGCUAAUAUAUUGUAUUUUAUUUGUUUGUCAAUAUUAAUAUGGAGUGUAUAUUCUUGCAAGUUCUUUAAUUAGCAUAAUGUCUUCUAAAAUUCAUAGUAUCUUUCGUACUAUCUGAUUGUAGUUGUGGUGGCAGUAGGAAGAAACACACAUAAAUGUUAACAUAAUGGCUUUUCUCAUCAGUAAAAGGCUGCAGCUUUCCACCCCUCCUCCAACUCACUUUCCUCAAUGGCAAAAUCUGUGGUGAAUUGAUUCAGCAGAAGUUCACCAUUACCUUCUGCUGGAUCCGCAUGGAGCUUAGGUGUUUCGCUCAUAAACACGCACAUCGUCCGGUCUGAGAUUCGAACCCAUGAUCCCUCGACCGCGAGUCCACUGCUCUAACCACUAGGCCAUGUGCCUCCACGAUGAGCCUUAUGAAGGAGAUGUCAGAGAAUUGAAAUAUGUGGCACUUUGUUGUACUGAAGAGAACCUACCCACCACAACAGAAUUCAGAUCCUAAAACCAAGGUGGCAUGUAAAAAGCAUUGGUGUAGGUACUGGUGCCAUGUAAAAAGCACUGGUGCUCUUGCCAUAUAAAAAUCACCGGUGAUGGUGCUACAUGAAAAGCAUCUAGUACGUUCUGGAAAGUGGUUGGCAUUGGGAAGGGCAUCCAGCUGUAGAAACCCGGCCAAAACGGACGAUGGAACCUGGUGUAGCCCCAGGCCUUGCCAGUUCCUGUCAAGCCAUCCAACUUAUGCCAGCAUAGAGAAAGGACAUUAAAUGUAGAGGAUGAUGAGGUUGAUGAUGAUGAUGACAAUGAUAAUGAUGAUCAUCAUCAUCAUUUAACGUCCGCUUUCCAUGCUAGCAUGGGUUGGACGAUUUGAUUGAGUUUCUACAGCUGGAUGCCCUUCCUAAUGCCAACCACUUCGAGAGUGUAGUGCGUGCUUUUAUGUGCCACCGGCACGAAGGCUAGUUUGGUGGUACUGGCAACGUCCGAAUAUCCAAAUGGUGCUUUUUAUGUGCCACCUGCACAGGAGCCAGUCCAGCGGCACUGGCGACAUCCCCGCUUGAAUAUUUCACGUGCCACCAGCACAAGUGCUAGUAAGGCGACGCGGUAACAAUCAUGCUCGAAUGGUGUGCUUAAUGUGCUACCGGCACAAAGGCCAGUUUGUUGCUCUGACAACAAUCUCAUUCGUAUGGUACUCUUAGCACUCCACUAGCAACAGAUGCCAGUCACCGAGUUAGAUUUCGACUUCGAUGAGGUUGAUAAAGAAAGUACCGAUCCAUGGCAUAAUUGUAAGAACAUCAGAGCUAUGGCAUUUUGGUAUUUUGUUCUGGCUUUUUGCAUUUGUACUGCCUGACUAAAAGAUUAAUAAGAAAUGGUCAAGCUUCUUAUCAAAGUAAUAUCAUCAGUUGCAGUGAGCCGGUAGAGAUGUGAGGGCAUUGGUCAAAAUGCUUAACAACAUUUCUUGUGGCUCUUUACAGACUAAGCUCAAAUCUUGUCGAGGUCAACUUUGCCUUUCACCCUUUUGGGGGUCAAUGAAUUAAAGUACCAGUCAAGUAAUUGGGUGUGGGAAGGGAUCGUUGUAGUCAACUUUCUCAAUCCCCUCAAAAUUGCUAGCUUUGUGCUAAAAUUAGAAAGACAAAAAAAAAAUUAUUGGUUUCAAAGUUUGGCACAAGGCCAGCAGUUUUGGUAGAGGGCUAAGUCGGUUACAUUGACCCCACCCCCAUUACUCAACUGGUACGUAUUUUAUCAACCCUGAAAGGAUGAAAGGAUCCUGGCAGAAUGUGAAGACAAAUGAAAUGCUUCUAAGUAUUUUGCCUAGCAUGCUAAUGAUUCUACCAGUUCAUCACCUUAACCCAUAUUAAGUUCCGUUUGGUUUAUUUACUGCAGUAAAAGUUAACUGAGCGUAAAAUAGUGCAUGUUGUAUUUGUUUGACCAUUUCGAUGACUGGCAUCUGUGCUAGUGGGGUGCAAAGAGCACCAUAUGAGUGUGAUCAUUGACAGAGCGGCUAUUCGAGCAUGAUCGUUACCAGCGUCACCUUACUGGCACUUAUGCCUGAGCUAGCAGGGUGCCAAGAACACCAUCCGAGUGUGAUCGUUGCCAGAGCAGCCAACUGGCUUCCGUACCCAUGGCACAUAAAAGGGCACCAUUAGAGCGUGAUCGUUACCAACGUCGCUUCACUGGCUCAUGUAAAAAGAUUCGAGUGAGGUCAUUGCCUGUACCGCCUGACUGGCCCCCAUGCAGGUGGCACGUAAAACGCACCCACUACACUCUCGGAGUGGUUGGUGUUAGGAAGGGCAUCAAGCUGUAGAAACUCUGUCAGAUCAAGACUGGAGCCUGGUGCAGCCAUCUGGUUGCCAGCCCUCAGUCAAAAUCGUCCAACCCAUGCUAGCAUGGAAAACGGACGUUAAAAGAUGACGAUGAUGAUUCUAUUUGGUUUAUUUACUGUAAUAAAGGUUAACUGGACUCUUCCGUAGGUUUGUUAUCCCUAUCUAUAUAACUAUCUUCAAAAUUUCAACAAGGUUAACCUGAGUUAAAAUGGGUUAAGGCAUGAAAAAAUAUUGGUUUAAAAUUUUGAUACAAGGCCAACAAGUUUGCGGGGAGGGUUAGUGAAUUACAUUGCCCCCAGUGCUCAACUUGUACUUAUUUUAUCGAUCUUGGAGGGAUAAAAGGUAAAGUUGACCCUGGCAGAAUUUGAACUCAGAAUGUGAAGACGAACAAAAUUCCACGAAGCAUUUUGCUCAGCAUGCUAAUGAUUCUGACAUUAACUUUUUUAAAGGCCAUGGAUAUAGGCUGUUAUUGUUGUUGCUACUGUUAUUUAAUCAUGAUUGGUCAAAUGAUCAAGGAUGUUCCAUCAACCACAUGUCUAGUGCUAGGUGGAGGCACAUGGCCUAGUGGUUAGAGCAGCGGACUCGUGGUCGAGGGAUCGUGGGUUCAAAUCUCAGACCGGACGAUGUGUGUGUUUAUGAGCGAAACACCUAAGCUCCACGCGGCUCCAGCAGAAGGUAAUGGCGAACCUUCUGCUGACUCUUUCACCACAACUUUCUCUCACUCUUUCCUCCUGCAUCUUGCAGCUCACUUGUGGUGGACCGGCAUCCCGUCCAGGUGGGGAACCUAUACGCCAAGAAACCAGGAAACUGGCCCUUAUGAGCCAAGUAUAGCUCGAGAAAGAACAAAAAAAAAAAAGAAAAACAAUGUCUAGUGCUACAUUUUCCAAUAUAACCUUCGACUUUCAAGAUAGUAUGUUAGGAGUUGAUGUACAUUUGACUGGUAUUUUUACCAGAUUGCAUAACUAUGUAGACUAGUUAUGGACAAGCUGCAGCCCAGGGCACAUUCUGGAUGGCACCCUUUAAUUUUACUAGUGAGGCCCACUUGAUGAUGAGCCGUGUUUCAUAUGGCCCACUUUUCGGCAAUUUUGUCCAUGCCCUAUCUAGAUACUACCUCAUUGAUUCAUAUGUGUAGUGAUCAUGUGCUCAGGUGUAGCUAGAAAUUGAUAUUGAUCAGCCCCAAAUCAGUUUGGAAUGAGCAGACUGAUGUGACUAAAUGUGUCAAGUUGGGACCAUCUCAUAUUUCAAUCAAAGUUCCUCUGGGACUUCAUUGUCCAAUGGGCCUUUCUUUUCUUUUAAAAUAAUAGUACAAUGUGAUUUGAAUGGGGUUUGGCUACUGUUUCUGCAAGCUCAAGUGACUUGCAGAAGUUUUCUCCUUGACUUGGCUGAGCAAGCAGUUUGAUGUCCAUGAGUUCAGAAUAGACUUAAAUAGGUGUGCCUUUAUCACCAUCACCACCACCACUGCCGUCACCACCACCACCACCACCACCACUGCCGCCACCACCACUACCACUGCUGCCACCACCACCACUGCCGCCACCACCACCACUGCCGCCACCACCACUACAACCAAGCUGCUGCUACUGCUGUUGUUGCUACUGCCAUCACUGCUGCUGUGACCACUGCCACUGCUACCAUGACUGCUGCCACCACCACCACAACCACCACCACUACCACCCACCAACAACAACAACACCACCACCACAAACACCUACCAACUACAACAGCAGCAGCAACACUACCAUUACAAACACCACCACCAACAACAACAGCAGUAACAAAUUCACCACCAUUAGUAGUAUUCGAAUUCUAUUUGCGAUUUUUCUCCAUCUUUUCUUUUUUAUUUUCUUUGUUUUUAUCAAUGAUUUUUCUUUCUUUUUUAGGUUUGUAUUUGACGUCUCAUCUUUACACAUGUGAGUUCAUUCAAAAAAAAAAAAAGAAGAAAAACGAAAAAAGAAAUUUAAAAGCUACAGGAAAGCAAGAAGAAAAGAACCCAAAGCUCUACCUGAAUCUGAUUUUGGAAUUCAUUUUUUUUAAGGCCCAAAACAAGCGAGAGAUGGCUGGUGUCCAUCCAAAAGUACGGAUCAACCAAGCAAGGGAAAUGAUGAUCUUAAAACUGCAAUUUGAACAGCUGCAGCGAGAGAUUGCCAUAGAUCGACGUCCUCUGACCGAGACAUUGGCGGAGAUGGUGGCCUUUUGUCAGGAACAACACCACGAUGAUCCCAUCUUGAAUAGGGACGAACCGAAAAAUAUCUACCCUCCGCAUAAAAGACAACAGUUUUGUCCUUUGAUUUGAAAUGUCUUUCUCCUUUUUGUCUUAAACCAUUUGUCUUUUACUUGUUAUCGAAUUGUAGCCAUGCUGGAGCACUGGGUUCAGCUGGAUCAAAUUGAUCCCCGUACUUAUAAUGUUUUCUUUAUUUGAAGUCUGGUGUUACUUAUUCUAUCAGUCGCUUUUGCUGAACUGCUAAGUGAACCAACACUGGCUGUCAGACGAUGGUCUUGGGAGGACAAAUAUAACCACAAAGAUACCCACACAUUUACAUAUAUAGACACACACACACACACACACAGAAAUGUAUAUAAUGGGCUCCCACGAAGUUUCCAGCUAUCAAAUUUGCUCUCAAAGCAUUGGUCUGCUCAAGAUGUCACACAAUUGGACUGAACCUAUGUAAACAAAAAGUCUUUGUAUGUUAUUAGUGAGAACAUGUCUACUCACAGCCUCACUAGACAUGUUCACUCAGCUGUGUCAGCCAAAAAAUAUAGCAAGGCCAGUCACAUGACCAUCCUCUUUCUUGCUUAACAGACUAAAUUUAGACAGCCUUGGUCACUAGACAUGUUCACUGAACUGUGGCAGAUUUAACAUACUGUGCCAAAUGUGUUGUCAUAUGAAGUAGGUAGUGGGAGCUUAAGUUUUCUAAACCUAAUCACAUGGUCAUCUUCAGCCAAUCUAAUCAUAUCCAAAACCAAUACUAAUUUGAAGCAUGUCUCUAUAAAAACAAGACAAUUUUUGAAUUCCAGUCAGAAGCAAAAGAGUUGCAGCAUAGCUCCAUGUUUUUCUAUCUUGACUUUGGAAAAUCAGAGAAAUAUGUGAAACAGUUUAAAUCUUUGAAAAUUUAAAAAUAAAAAAUUUAAAUGAAUCC